rfam:Glycine max cultivar Williams 82 chromosome 9, whole genome shotgun sequence.
AAAGUGGGAUGAAGCCAAGGAUGACUUGCCGACAUUAAUUUGCCAUUAAGCUAACGAGUUAGGUAGAAUCAUUUGUUAGAUUUUCCCGGCAGGUCAUCCUCUGGCUAUAUUUGGCUUUCU